CAGACUUCUCUCGGUUCUUCCUAGCUCAUCAAAACUGAAGCUGGGGGUGGCGGGGGCUGGCGGCUCCCAUAGAGCUUAGUAGGAGCUGACCCAGGGCUGAAACCGUGUCUGGCCACACUCAAAGCUCACCCACCCUAAGUUGCAUCCAGCGUCCAUGCAGCAGGAAAAGAGCAGUCUGGUAAGGGUGUCGCAUCAACAGUGAUAUGUUUAUCACGAGGAUUUCACUACUUCAUAUCUUACAGGAGGGAGGAGACAAUCCCAUAUGGGCUGUGAGGACAAGGAACGCUCCAUGUAGAGUCCAGUCUUCUCCUGAGUCAUUCCAUCAUCAUGUGUGACAUCAGCACGUUGUCGGCCAGGCAGAGGAGGUGUGGCGUGUACAGCCGGAAGUGGCGCAGGAAGGCGGAGAUGGCAAAGCUACAUCAGUCAAACAUUUAAUUGACUAAUAACAAAUGUCCAUUGAAAAGCCACAAGAUGUGGAGUCCUGCACUAAGCGAUUCAGAGAUAAGGGAAAUACCUGUCCUCAGGCUAACACAGGAUGGGCAGGGAAACUGAAAGAUGAUGAAACAGAAUUGAAAGAAGAUGGAAAUUAAAUGGACUUUUAAAAAUAA